rnacentral:rRNA from 1 species
AUACGGAGGGUGCAAGCGUUACUCGGAAUCACUGGGCGUAAAGCGCGCGCAGGCGGGCUGAUAAGUUGGAUGUGGAAGCCUACGGCUCAACCGUAGAACUGCAUCCAAAACUGUCAGUCUAGAGUCUGGGAGGGGAAGAUGGAAUUAGUUGUGUAGGGGUAAAAUCCGUAGAGAUAACUAGGAAUACCAAAAGCGAAGGCGAUCUUCUGGAACAGUACUGACGCUGAGGCGCGAAAGCGUGGGGAGCAAACAGGAUUAGAAACCCUAGUAGUCC